rnacentral:rRNA from 1 species
AGUGAACGCUGGCGGUAGGCCUAACACAUGCAAGUCGAACGGCAGCACAGUAAGAGCUUGCUCUUACGGGUGGCGAGUGGCGGACGGGUGAGGAAUACAUCGGAACCUACUUUUUCGUGGGGGAUAACGUAGGGAAACUUACGCUAAUACCGCAUACGACCUACGGGUGAAAGCAGGGGAUCUUCGGACCUUGCGCGAUUGAAUGAGCCGAUGUCGGAUUAGCCAGUUGGCGGGGUAAAGGCCCACCAAGGCGACGAUCCGUAGCUGGUCUGAGAGGAUGAUCAGCCACACUGGAACUGAGACACGGUCCAGACUCCUACGGGAGGCAGCAGUGGGGAAUAUUGGACAAUGGGCGCAAGCCUGAUCCAGCCAUACCGCGUGGGUGAAGAAGGCCUUCGGGUUGUAAAGCACUUUUGUUGGGAAAGAAAAGCAGCAGGUUAAUACCUCGCUGUUCUGACGUUACCCAAAGAAUAAGCACCGGCUAACUUCGUG